UUCCGUAGGUGAACCUGCGGAGGGAUCAUUACCGAGUGUGGCGCUCCGGCGCCUCCCUCCAACCCCAUGUCGAAACGACUCUGUUGCCUCGGGGGCGACCCGGCCUUCGGGCGUCGGGGCCCCCGGUGGACACCUUCAUAACUCUUGCAUCUCUUGCGUCUGAGUGAUACAUACAAUCAAUCAAAACUUUCAACAACGGAUCUCUUGGUUCUGGCAUCGAUGAAGAACGCAGCGAAAUGCGAUAAGUAAUGUGAAUUGCAGAAUUCAGUGAAUCAUCGAAUCUUUGAACGCACAUUGCGCCCCCUGGCAUUCCGGGGGGCAUGCCUGUUCGAGCGUCAUUACACCACUCAAGCCUGGCUUGGUAUUGAGCGCCGCGGCCUGCCCGCGCGCUCCAAUGUCUCCGGCUGAGCCGUCCGUCUCUAAGCGUUGUGAAUAGCGAUCGCUUGCGAGGCCCGGGCGGUUCGACGCCGUUAAACCCCCCAUUUUCUAUGGUUGACCUCGGAUCAGGUAGGGAUACCCGCUGAACUUAAGCAUAUCAAUAAGCGGAGGAA
rnacentral:rRNA from 1 species